ACAGAGAGUCUAAAUACCCUAAAAGCACCAGAAGCAAAGCAGGGUCAUCCUUGGUUAGUACUUGGAUGGGAGACCACCAAAGAAUACCAGGUGCUGUAGGCU
rnacentral:rRNA from 1 species